AAGAAACAGUCUGAACUGUGAGCUGAAUUUUACACAUUUUUACUGGAAGUGUUGGAGGUUGGAGCAGAGCAGAAUCUUUUCCUGUGGUUUUUAUAGUAUCAGACCCAGAAGCAUCUCUGUAUAACACCUCCACCUCUCUAUCUUCUGCUGACAAUAUGAAGCAUUUCCUUCUGCGUUUACAACAACACAGAAACCCACAGCGGUGAGUCACUGCUGUCAUGUGAGUAAAAAAGCGGGAAAACCCUGCAACUGUCAAACCUGAACUGAAGUCAUCGCUCUACCUCAGAAAUGCUUUCACUUCCUUCCUACGUCUCUCAUUUCCUUAGUAACACGAGAGUCUCAAUCUAAACAGACAAAAGGAUGAAGGUUUGCUCUGGAAUUUAACCUCAAUCUGAAAUGUGUUCAAACACCAUGAAAAACUAAAAAGACUUCAAGACUAAGAUGAAGUUUUAGGUUGCUCAGCUGCCAUAAAAUACGUGUUUAGGCUUUACAAUGAAAUCCCUAAAAACUGUAUCGGUUACAUAUUCUAUUCAGUUUUUCCAUGAGAAUAAUCCCAUCUGACUGUAACUCUGCCUCUCCUUUAUGUCACGGCUGUGACUAAUGGCAGUGCUGUCUCCUCCUCUGGUGCUGGUUUACUCUCUCCUAGGUGUGCGUUGGCACAGAGGCUUGGCAGCAGGUGCUUCUGAUCAGUUGUCAGCAGAACGCCAGCAGAACUGACUCCUGCCUGCUCGUGCCACCCAGAUCUCCUGCUCAACCACCCGCUUACUACAAGAUCCCUCACCUUUCCCUUGGCUCCUUUUGGUUCACUGAUUCCCCAAAAAUUCCCUGUUCACCUGAAGCAUACACCUGCUGCCAGCCACGCCACUGUGAACACCAGCCACGCCACCUUGGACACCAGCCUUCCAGUCUGUCCACCACGGACACCAACUACAUCACCACUGGCUACCGUACCAUCUUGGAACAACUCGUCCUCCCUAGACUGGUCGGAACCUGGUCAUAAAUCCGGACCUCUCCCCCUGGCAUUGUCAGUUAAAUCUCCAAGCCCAAGCAAUGCCAGACUUUAUUAUUAGACAAGUCCGCUUGUUCAUUCUGUCAAUUCUAAUUGGCUUUUCGUGCAGUAUUCUGCUUAUAUUCCUGGUUUAAAAUUGUACCCCUUCGGGUUCAUUUUCUAACUAUUUCUAGCCCCGUGUUUGUGUUAGUCUAGUCUUGGGGUUUCCGAUUUCAGGAUUGCUGUUAGUCAAGAAUUCUUUUAGUAAUCUGUUCUGGUUAUUCUUAUUCAAAUUUGUACUCCUGCCUUGGUGAUACCAUAUGUGGGUUUACUUAUCUUUGUUUUUCUAGUUUUGUGUAGCUAGUCCGUCUACCCUCUAGAGGGUAUCAAGAUAUGCUCCACCUUUGGUGGUUUUGUUCAUACUUCCGUUUCCAGUUUUCAUAUUUCCGGUAUACAGUUGUAGUUGUUUGUAUUUUUCCUGUGUUGUAAAUAUCAUAAAAUCAUUGUUAAACUGUU